rnacentral:rRNA from 1 species
AGUGAACGCUGGCGGUAGGCCUAACACAUGCAAGUCGAACGGCAGCACAGUAAGAGCUUGCUCUUACGGGUGGCGAGUGGCGGACGGGUGAGGAAUACAUCGGAAUCUACUUUUUCGUGGGGGAUAACGUAGGGAAACUUACGCUAAUACCGCAUACGACCUACGGGUGAAAGCAGGGGAUCUUCGGACCUUGCGCGAUUGAAUGAGCCGAUGUCGGAUUAGCUAGUUGGCGGGGUAAAGGCCCACCAAGGCGACGAUCCGUAGCUGGUCUGAGAGGAUGAUCAGCCACACUGGAACUGAGACACGGUCCAGACCCCUACGGGAGGCAGAGGGGGGGAAUAUUGGAAAAGGGGCGCAAGCCUGAUCCAGCCAUACCGGGUGGGUGAAGAAGGCCUUCGGGUUGUAAAGCCUUUUUGUUGGGAAAAAAAAGCAGCAGGUUAAAACCCCGCUGUUCUGACGGUACCCAAAAAAUAAGCACCGGCUAACUUCGU